GACGAACGCUGGCGGCGUGCUUAACACAUGCAAGUCGAACGGAAAGGCCCUGCUUUUGUGGGGUGCUCGAGUGGCGAACGGGUGAGUAACACGUGAGUAACCUGCCCUUGACUUUGGGAUAACUUCAGGAAACUGGGGCUAAUACCGGAUAGGAGCUCCUGCUGCAUGGUGGGGGUUGGAAAGUUUCGGCGGUUGGGGAUGGACUCGCGGCUUAUCAGCUUGUUGGUGGGGUAGUGGCUUACCAAGGCUUUGACGGGUCGCCGGCCUGAGAGGGUGAACGGCGACAAUGGGACUAAGAGACGGCCCAGACGGCUACGGGAGGCAGCGGGGGGGAGUAUGGCACAGUGGGAGGAAGCCUGAUGCGGCAACGCCGCGUGCGGGAUGACGGCCUUCGGGGUGUAAACCGCUUUAGCCUGUGACGAAGCGGUAGUGACGGUAAUGGGUAAAGAAGCACCGGCUAACUACGUG
rnacentral:rRNA from 1 species